UACGUAGGGGGCAAGCGUUGUCCGGAUUUAUUGGGCGUAAAGAGCGUGUAGGCGGCCUUACAGGUCAGCUGUGAAAACUCGAGGCUCAACCUCGAGACGUCGGUUGAAAACCGUAAGGCUAGAGUCCGGAAGAGGAGAGUGGAAUUCCCGGUGUAGCGGUGAAAUGCGCAGAUAUCGGGAAGAACACCCGUGGCGAAGGCGGCUCUCUGGGCAUUACCUGACGCUGAGGAGCGAAAGUGUGGGGAGCGAACAGG
rnacentral:rRNA from 1 species